CUAUUUUCCAACGGCCAGCGCUAAAGAUGUGCCAACACACACGAGAUUGAGACAUGGCCGACCUCACGCACUUCUCAUGAGAAAUUCCGCAAGGAGCUUCGUGAGACCACUGCUGAGACGCUUC